UGGGGAAUUUUGGACAAUGGGCGAAAGCCUGAUCCAGCAAUGCCGCGUGAGUGAAGAAGGCCUUCGGGUUGUAAAGCUCUUUUGUCAGGGAAGAAACGAGUUUCUCUAAUACAGAGACUUAAUGACGGUACCUGAAGAAUAAGCACCGGCUAACUACGUGCCAGCAGCCGCGGUAAUACGUAGGGUGCAAGCGUUAAUCGGAAUUACUGGGCGUAAAGCGUGCGCAGGCGGUUAUGUAAGACAGAUGUGAAAUCCCCGGGCUCAACCUGGGAACUGCGUUUGUGAAUGCAUAACUAGAGUACGGCAGAGGGAGGUGGAAUUCCGCGUGUAGCAGUGAAAUGCGUAGAGAUGCGGAGGAACACCGAUGGCGAAGGCAGCCUCCUGGGCCAGUACUGACGCUCAUGCACGAAAGCGUGGGGAGCAAACA
rnacentral:rRNA from 1 species